UGAAUCAAUUAUAUUUUCCUCUUUAAUAUUUGCAGCACGUAAUAAACAUGAAUGCAUGUGUGAAAAAAAAUCUGAACAAUUUUAUACAAACGAAUGUCUCAUGAAAUCGAUCAAUCAGAGUCUUAAAAAACGUCAAUAAGGCUACGUUCACACUGCAGGGCUUAAUGCUCAAUUCCGAUUUUUUGAAAAAAUUCGAUUUUUUUGCAAGGCCGUUCACAUUUUCAAUUAAAUGCGACCUUUUGUGAUCUCCUGUGUGAACGUGAAAUGACCCAGAAGUGACCCGCAUGCGCAGAAGAGUACUCAACGGUCAACGACGUCACUCGUUGUUUGCGGAAGUAGCUAACGUUAAACAUGGAACCCCAAAUAUUAAUUAAAUCUGUGACCUCGCUUCCCUUCCAUUGACUGGUCUCAGCAGCAUCGUCCGCCAUGGUUGUUGUUUAUCUUCUCGUUCCCGCCUACUUCAACGCAGAAUUAUGACGUUUGUAGCGUAUCAAUGACGUACGGGUCGGAUACAUGUGGCCUGGCCGUUCAGACGGAGGUCGCAUUUCAAAAAAUCGGAUACGUAUCGGAUUCAGGACCACAUACCCAAGUGGCCUGGGUCACAUUUGAAAAGAUCGGAUCUGUGUCGUUCAGACUGUCGUGAAAAGAUCAGAUACAGGUCGCAUAGAGGCAAAAAAAUCGGAAUUGGGUCGUUUCAGCCUGCAGUGUGAACGUAGCCUUAGAUGUGGUGUUUCAGUGUAGUAAUUAAGCUACUGUUCUUGUUUUUUUUGUUUGUUUGUUUGUUUUUUGUACCUUUUUCACGGUACGUGUGCAGCAAAAUCACCAUUUCCCUUUCAUCGCACCCUUGGUUUAACGCACGUGUACUCGCCUGAGCAUGUCUGAUUACACAAACGGUUGCGCCACAUUUGAUUUCCAAAACAGAGCUUAGAAAAAACUAAAUGAUGUCAUGUUGUCUGUUCCUCUGUUUCAGGUACAUGAUGAUGAAGGACUGCUGGCAUGCAAUCUCCUCUCACAGACCCACAUUCAAACAGUUGGUCGAGGACUUGGACCGCAUUCUCACUUUGGCAACCAACGAGGAAUAUCUGGACCUGUGCGCCCCGGUGGAGCAAUACUCUCCCAGCUUUCCCGACACACGCAGCUCCUGCUCCUCCGGAGACGAUUCCGUCUUCUCCCACGACCCCUUAGCAGACGAGCCCUGCCUUCCCAAGUACCAGCACAUCAACGGAGGCAUAAAAACAUGAGCCUCUUCAACCUUCUCCAGACCCACCGCAUCCAAGCUACGCCUGCAGUUCUCAACAAGACUGAGAGACUUUUACCCACAGUUCCCUUGUACCCAUCCAGAACCGUAUGCUGCCUCUAGACUCCUGGCGAAGCUCCCGCUGGACUUUUGGAGUGCGCUAAAGGAGGCUGAGACGUCAGCAGUGCUGCUUUUCCGGAAAGAACCUGAAGUGUGUGAAGUGCAGGUGCUUUUUUUUUUGUGGUAAACACACUUGUGUGCACAAAAACAUGUGACCAAGCUACUUAAGAGAGGACAAGGACUUUGAUGAUUUUUCCCUAUUUGUGUUGGAAUUCUAUUACAUUCUUGCCAUCAUUCCGUUGCUUGGCAUUCCAGGAUUCUGUGUUCCCAAGAGAAAUGAAUGGAGCACACGGACAGAACUCUUAAGAGACAAAAAGGAGAAAAUAUGAUAUGAGUACAAUAAGGAAACAUACAACUAACAGAAGAAGAAGAAGUAGAAGAAAACAUAACACUGCCUCCAGUUGUAUUUUUUUAUUUUUUUAUUUUUAAAUGCUCUGUUUUUACCAUGAUAACACAGUUAUCAUACAAAAAUCCCGAGCAGUUAUCCUUAAUGGUUAAAAAAAAUGAAAUAAUACAUGGUAUAUAGUGCUGGGUAUAUUUGUAAAUAUAUUCAAAUAUGUAAAAAUAUAUAUUAUAUAUUUACAAUGAAUUAUUUUUUGUAUGGACUUCCGAACAAUUCCUCCCUUUUCCCGCAGAGUGAGAAAUAGAUGUAGACGCAUCUAGAUGUUUCUAUUACAUUCCCAGACUUACAUUCACACAUAUAUAGCAGGACUCGACAUUAAAAAUCUCCAUGAAAUGGCUUGACGAGUGCAGUUUUCUCUUUUGUGUUUCAUGUUAAAACAGGAAGUCUCUUUUCUUUGUCAACUUUUGGGAGUGUAUUAACGUUUAGAUGACCUCAGAACUAACAAACAUAGACUAAAAGCCACAAAACUCUCAGUUUUCAUGCGUAUGUUCCAGGAACACUGAGCCGUGGUGCUGGUUCCAAUCCGGGCGCACAAAAUCUCCUGGAAAAGUUUAAUGUCGGGUCCUGCACAACUCACUUGCUGACACAGUCACGUAUUGGCUUUCAGGGAAAGAGAUAGCAUGUUAAUUUAUUGACUUGUGUUUAAAAAGAAUCAAAAGGAUAAAAAGGAUCAAAAUAAUAAAGAGAUAAUAAUAUUAAUGAUGACCGUAGAAACAAUAAUGAUUCAUAAUGUUUAUUUUAGUAAUUUAAAAUGACAUUUCAGUAAAUGCAAAAAUAACGUAAAUUUUUAUAGUCAGCUAAUCCCUUUUCUAUAGUAGAGGAUGUUGUUUUACUCACACUGAAGUUUGCAUUUGAAUUUGAUGAAAUACUGGAAAAAAGGUUGCAGUAUAUUUUGUGCAGUUUCACCCACAUCGACUCGAAAGUAUUACGAAUCCUGUUUCAAGUGUUUCAUUUUCUUCCAGACAAAUGAGCUGAGGUUGUUCUCAACAAGUGUUCCUGACAGAUUUGUAAAAUUAAAGAUGAAAAAUUAUUUGUGUGUGCUUUGUUUUUAUAUUUUGUUCCGCUUUUCCAAGUAAAUCCCUUUCUGGUGUCUAUAUUUAAGUAAAAUUUAUAUAGUGUGUUUUUUACAGUACACAGUUUCAAAGCAGCUUUGCAGAAAAUCCUGUUAAUGUUCAUAAUAUCUUAAUAUUGUCAUGCCUAAUAGUCGCAUUUAGCAAAUUAGAGUGGGAUAAUACAGUUUAUAUUUUGCAAUGAUACAAGCAAUCGAGCAGUUGAGAUUUGCUAUAUAGUAUAUUUAGACAAAUUAGAGUGGGAUAAUACAGUUUAUAUUUUGCAAUGAUACAAGCAAUCGAGCUAGUUGAGAUUUGCUAUAUAGUAUCUCUUGCCUUGUAUAUAUGCAGAUAAAGUUGUACAUAUUUAAAUAUGACUACUAUGUAUAAUGAUAAUAGGGUGAUAAUAGUAUGUUUUGCGAAAAAAAAAUCAGGAAGUGUUUAAUAUGAAAAAUUGCAAGCCUGUAAACUCAAAUCUUCACUGUAGUUUUAGUCGUUACAUAAAAAAGUAGAAUUUGAUAAAUUCAUAUUGAGACCUAUGACAUUGUUUUCAAGCUUUGGUAUUUUGUUUAUGCAUAUGGGAGCAGUUUGAGACUUUGUUGAGCUCUUUAAGGCAUUAGAGGAGACACGUGAGAUUACUGGGGUGCUUUUCUCAUAAGAAACUUCUGAAAAUCAUCUGUUUGAUCUCCAUUUGAUUUCACCUUUUUAUUUCCGUUGAAACCAGUGUUCCUUAAAAAUGUCAUUUUAUUCUUUAUUCUUCAUGAGGCUGUCUGUUUAAUAUAGUCGAAAGCUCAAUGGCGCCACUGAGGAAAGCAAAACCUUCUCCUAAUCUGAAAAAAUGACAAAAACUAUGGUGACUGAAACCUGUCUCUGACCUCAUUACUGCUCUCCCCCAUCCUGUAUGAUCCUCCAAAUGAGAGACUGCGAUGAGCAUCUGCCACAUAAAGUUCUUCAGCUCAGAGCCGUUGAAAUACGUGAGGAGGCCCAUUAGAGCGCUGACUGCCAUCUCAAUCUACUGGUUCUCGUAGCCUCCAUCUGUCAGAGGCUGUUUGCACAAGGUCCAGUCCUCUGGAAUGUCAACAUGAGUCGGGUGUGAGACAGACCCGCGCUCGCAGAUAACACACGGGUGACGCUGGGAGAGAGUUAAUCAGUAAACCACAACAUAAACCACAUCCAGUGCUUCAGACACUUCCAUAUCUUCUUUAAGAAGAGUCAAGAGAAAUUUCUAGAGGUCAUUUUCAGAGUGUGAUAUGUUCAGGUCCAUCUCACACAACCAAUAUUGGUGCAUCAUUCAUGCACUAAUGAAUUGUGAGAUUUUGUGCUGUUUUGCUUCCAUAACUUCCAAGACUACACAUUUAAGUGUUUAUUUUAGUGCACUUUAUGUAUUAACGUCUGUAGAUUUCAGUUACAUGCAUAACUUUACAGGCCAUUUUCUCAAAACGAGUUAUUUCCCAUUAACCAAGCCAGAAAUCUCCACUUCAGUUACAUUUCUGUUG
rnacentral:lncRNA from 1 species